UACGAAGGGUGCAAGCGUUACUCGGAAUUACUGGGCGUAAAGCGUGCGUAGGCGGUUUGUUAAGUCUGUCGUGAAAGCCCCGGGCUCAACCUGGGAAUGGCGAUGGAUACUGGCGAGCUAGAGUACGGUAGAGGAGAGUGGAAUUCCCGGUGUAGCAGUGAAAUGCGUAGAUAUCGAGAGGAACACCUGCGGCGAAGGCGGGUUGCUGGGCCGACACGUGACGCUGAUGCGCGAAAGCCAGGGGAGCGAACGGG
rnacentral:rRNA from 1 species